UUCUUCACAUUAAGAUAAAGUAAAUGUUGCCUCAACCAGUAGCUCAAUUAGUGUAAACUAGGUGGUUGCGACGAUUCAUUAUUUGGUGCUUAAAAUAAUUGUUGUAAAUAUUUUCGAAACGAAGUUCCAGGGAGUAAGGUACAUAAUCUAAUUAGGAACAUAUACAACCAUCCAUUUCCGCCCAGGAUGGAUGAAUUAUUCCUGCUAAAUUCUCUAACGAAAAAUUCAAGUUUGUUGGGACCCCGGACUUCUGAAGUGACUUUACUAAAAAUUCACAUGCGUACAAUGAAAGGGCCAAACCGGAACGUCAGAAUUUACGCGGCUACGAUUACGUAAAUACAAUGUACAUAUCUCGGAUAUGGGUAAUUUGUGUGUACAUUCGUUAUUCUUGAAUGGAUAAUGGAACGAUUGGAAGACGUAAAUUAGUCACGUAUUGGUUAUUUUCGUCGUCUCAAAAUUAAAACUUACAAUAUUAGUACUGUAUAGGACGAACUAAUUUCUUGAAUGAAAACCUUGCAGCAGAUUUGUACAUACAUAUAUAAAUUUGCAGGAAGCAAAAAUGCAUUUAUGAACUUGCAGGAAUAUGUGUACAUAUUUUUCUCUUAAAAAAAUUCCCAAGCUCACUUAAAUGUCCGCAAGUUCCUUAAAAAAAUUAAUCAUUAUGUACAUGGGAAAAAAAAUUUCUAAUUUCCAUAAAUUAUUUUUUAAUUACGUAAUGCAUGUCACUAUUUUUUCAAAUUUCCAAGAACAUUGGGAAUUUUAAAAUUCCCCGCGUGCAGUAUGGUCGUAGUAUAAACAAAUACAGUGAUCUCGUAAUCUAUCUGCCGGUAUGUAAGAGUGCGAUAAAGAAAAACUGGAACUACCGGUUUAAAAUUUUAACAACAACUAACAAUAAAUAAAAUGUAACAUUUAUUGUUAUCCAUACACUGAAAAGUUAGCCAUACGCGUUACCCAUGAGUAGGAAUGGGUAAUCCGAUCCGAAGAAAUCCGAUCCGAUCCUAAUCCGUCGGAUUAUGUCGGAUCGGAUUAAGGUUUUUUCCGAUCCGGUCGGAUCGGAUUGGUUUAAAAAUCCGAUCGGAUCAAUCCGAGGCUUUCCAUUGGAUUUCGGAUCGGAUUUCGGAUUGCAUUAUUUGGAGGAAUCCAGCUUGCAUCCUCUAUUCAUCCUACAGUUUGCCACUCACAUAUUUGACAAAUUACGACAGAUUUCAAAAAAUAAUCUCUCUCUCUCUCCCUAUCCUACCUCGAACAUAAUUUGUCAACACAUGCGUCUAAAAUUGAUUGGGCAAAGUCAAAAAUUCUUGUUCAGUUAAUAUUAAUAGUCGCAAUUCGUUGAUAAAUUUUCUAAGAGGUUAUUUGGUUGUUCGAAAGCACUACGAAAUAAUCUGUCACGAAGCUUUUAGAUUUUUUCAAGCCUAUAAUAUUUGGUGAACGGUAAUUAAUUAUUAAUUACAGUGAAGAAAAUUAAAGUGUAGGAUGGAUAAAGUGUUCUAUCUCAAACGAUGGCCACGAUCAUAGCUUGAAAAUUUGCAGGGUGCAAUCCCAGAAAUAUUGUGAUUGGAUCACGUCCUUAUUUUUGAAAAAUUUCAAAAAGCUAUUAGUUAAAGCUAAUGCAAAAAGCUAAGGGUCACUAUUUUUGACUAACAAGCGCACUUCUCAAGUCUCGCGUUGACUUGCUUUACUAUGGGGUUUUAUUUCUUGACAAAUAUAUAGCUCAACUGGAUGUGAACAUAUUGAUAUGUUGUACAUUUCCGGACGAUUUUUUGAAGUAGUGAAUUUUUUAGUAAGGCGAAUUUUAACAAUUUGUCAAAACUCGCCUUAUUAAAAAAUUCGCUACUUUGUUCAAAAAACCGCACGGCUGUGUUCAAGAUAUCAAAAGUGCGUUCACAUUUCGCUAUCGAUAAAAAUAAAGCCUCCAAUGAAACAUAUCGUCAUGAAACUUGAAAAGUUACCUUUUGGGUCAAAAAUUGUGACUUUUGACCUGGACGAUAUUUUUAAAAUUCAGGAACGGAUUCAACCCCAAUAUUUUUCGGCUACCCCCCUGAAAAUUAUCAAGCUGUUAUCGUGGCCAUUGUGUGAGAUAGAAACGUUUAUCCAUCAUGCAAUUUAAUUUGCCCCCACUAUUAACUAUUGCCUAUUCAAUAGGAAGGGUGAAAUUUAGAUGGCUUUGUCGGUUUUUAGUAACCAUAUACUAAUAAUUAAUUAUUGAACCUAGUGUAUAUGUAAUGCAUAUUGGGUAGUAUUAUUAUCAUCUCUUGAGUAGGUACACAUACUAUUGCUCAUGGCUUUUCUAAAGAAAUCGCGUUCAAAUUUAAAACGAGGCCGCUUAUGACUCUGCUGCAGGGUACCAGUGAGAUUUUUUCUAAGGGCCGUAUGCAAACUCAAAACCUACUUUGUAGACUUGAUAUAGCCCGAGUCAGACCAACGUGAUUAUCCCUCAAUCCCACUUUUUGAAUGACAUUUUAUCGUAAAUGCAUAUCAAAAAACAAUUUAAAAAUUUAAAUUGACUUACUUUUCCAACUUAAAAAUUUAAAUUGAUUUUUCCAAUUUAAAAAUUUAAAUUGAUUUUCCAAUUAAAAAAUUUAAAUUCAUAUUCUUCUAACAGUAUCAAUUAGCAGUCUAUGUAGCAAAUUUCAGCUUGAUACGACGAUUUAAAAAAUCCGUAAAGGUCACCCAAUUGGCUCCCUCCAGAUAAAAAUUGCCCCGAUUUUAAUUCAUAUUGUUUAAGCCAAAAGCAACCUCAGCAAUUUCAGCUCUACUAUAUAUGACAAUUUUGAAAAAUAGGUAUGGGUCAACCUACUCCUACUGGGUUCCUCCUCCUUUGUUACAAAACAAAGAAUGGAUUAUGGGCCAGUGCAUACGGCACUAUCUGCAUAUUCACACGAUGGUGGUGGUGUACGUACGCAAAUGAGUUUAAGCGGUGAAAAGCCCGAUUUCUUUAGAUCUGACAAAAGCAAUAUGUACUACAGAUGUAUGUAAUUAUUGCCAGUAUUGGAUUUUAUAUAACCGGUUUAGUAAUCCGAUCCGAUCCGAUCCGAAAUCCGUCGGAUUGAUCCGAAUCGGAUCGGAUUGGUCGGUCAAUCCGCCUCGGAUCAAUCCGAUACCGGGCAUAAUCCGAGUCGGAUUGAUCCGAAGACCCCAAAAUCCGAUCCGAUCCGAUCCGAACCCAUUCCUACCCAUGAGAAAUUACUGACACCUUGUUUUUCUCUUUAAUAAUAACCACUGUCAGAAUAUUAUUCAAUCACAUCAGGAUUUUAGGGUUAAUAUUUAUAUGAUAUAUUUACCCCAGGCAUGGCAGUAGGCCGAGCAUAUACAUCCCGGACUGCUGUGGCCACAUUAGUUAAGUAAUUUUGAAAUACCUUACCAUAUCUAAUUGUUGCCUCUGAUCAUAUCUUCUUCAGAGUAGUAAAUGAAAAUGUGUAAGUCCAGUGAUGGUAAAAACUUUUCCGCUACAAAUUAUUUUUCUUUCGUGGCUCAAACUGUAACCAAUCCGAAUUGAGCCAACGUAACCUAACGUUUGCCACGUUUGAACGGUAUUUCAAACGAGUUGUACCUUCAUAAAUAAUAUUUUGGAGAAUAUUGUUUCGCAAAUUCAUUUUACGCACUUCAUGCCACGAAGUUCAUGGUAGGAUCAAAUUGUAUUAAAAUGGACGGCAAUCAUACCGUUUUCAGAUUUGAGUCGUACCCUUGUUUCAACUCGUAAUACGAUUAGCGGAUAGAUGUCUAAGUUAAAAACAGCGCCAAAUUUAUUGUACUAAUUUGAUGUUGUUAUGCAUAUGGACAAACAUACCGUAAAUACUCUAUUUAUAGCCGGGUCUUGAGCCCAACUUUGAAAAAUUUAAUAAGGUUGUCCUGAAUUAUGCCAUUCCUUUAACGUCCGUUUUUAGAUGCUUCAAGUUAUGCACAACUGAAAAAUAAUUUACCUGGGUCUCUAACUAUACCCGGUUUAAAAUUGUAUAUUCGGAUUUGUUUCGUCUUUAGACCCGGCUAUAAAUAGAGUCUUUACGGUAUGUAAAUUUUUCUGCGUUGUGCUCAUUUCCACGUGGUAUGCUGGAAUAUUUAAAAAUAGUAAAAUAACUAGUACAUAUUUGUUGAGAUGAAUUCCAGUAGCUGGAGAAUUUCAUAGUUUAGAAAAUCAGAUUAAUAAAUAAGAUGAGCUAGAUUAUUUCGUAAGGGUCCACGUGAUGCAUGGUGGUAACAGUUGUGAGUACUUAUAAUUGUAGCCCAUUUUUUCUGCAACAACGAUUUCAAGUAGAUUAGGCCGAAAAUUAUUUUGAAAGAGAUGUCUUAUUUUGGAAUAUGGAUUCUGAUCCGAGGGGCCAAAAAUUACAUAAAUUGAUAAAAUAUGUACAUAUGUACAUGAUUAUAUCGGAAAUUAUCAUCUUGGCGACAAGUAAUUUCACUUUCACAGCUUAAAAAAUCUAUCAUAACAUUCAAACACUUGAUAAAUGAUAGGCCUAAGCUACAAUGUAACAAUUAUAAUCGUUACCAUUCUGGAUUCUGCUAAACAUGGUUGAAAUUUUUAGCACUUGAAGGGAAGAAAAUUUUCAUUAAAUUGUAUUGAAAGCAGUAAAAUUUGCCCGGAUGUAUAUAUUUAUUUCUUUAUUAAUUAAUAUUAUGCUAAAUCUAAAUUUGAAUAAAAUAUUUAAUAUAUUUUUCAAUAGAAAACAAUAUGAAAUAGCCUGACCUAAGAAUAAUAGUAGUACUUUGAAUUUCUCAUUAUAUUUAAGCAGCGAUUAAAAUGUAAUUAAUCGCGAUAGAUAAAUAUGCAUACGCUUACUACUUUGUGAAUGGAUAAUUGACUUUUGUAUAAAUAUUAGUAUGAAGAAUAAUAAAACACUUACAAUUUUAA